GUAUUAUCUCAAUGAUCAAAAGCCUACAAACUUACCCCAAGAAAUAGAUUUCUGUUGUUUGCUGCGCUACACCUGAGGACUCAAGAGUGUGCUCCUGGGUCCAGGGCCUGCAAAGGCAGCAUUUUCCCCUUGAGGAUGCAUAUAUGAUGCCAUUCGAUUGAUGGCUUCAGUCCAGAGCUGGCUACUAUGUGAGUGGGCAUUUGCCAGAGAGAGGCAGUGUCAUAACGGCAUUUAGGAAUGAACACUCUAGAGCCAGAUAACUUGGAUUUGAAUCCCUGUUGUACCAUGUUUCAGCUGUGGAACCUUGGAGCAUGCCUUCGUUGAGCUGAGACCCAGGCUUCUCUGACAAACUCUGUUGAGGAAACUGGAAAUGAUCUACUAAAGAAUAUAGAUCGCUGAGUCUGAUGUUGUACGAAACUCAUAAUACCUGACUGGGGAAAAAAAAAAACCAAUGUAGGAAAAAAGUUCCAGGAGGAGGCUAUGGCUCUGGCUGCCACCACCGGUUGAGCUGGUCAGCAGGAAGUUUGACGUGCCAGAAAAACAAGGGAGGGAACAAGAAAGGCAUUUUUCCAACUUAUCCAGAUGCCUCGGAGCCUAGAGUUGAUUGGCUGAAGAGAACUGAUUUGAGUGAGUCUAUCUUUACUGGUCUAUAUUAGAUAUGGUAGGCUACAUGAUGCUAUAACAAACAAACCCCCAAAUCUCAGUGGCUUACCAUGGUAAAAGUUUAUUCUUCUGCUUACACAAAGUCCAUUGCGUGCUCAGAAGGUAACUUCUGUGGGACUCUCCUUCAAUUCCAUAGAUUCUGGGAUCCAGCUCCUUCUCUCAAGGGCCUUGGCUCUUCCCUGGGCUUUCUCUGCGGUCCCUCUGGUGGGAUAAACAAAGAGGGAGGAUUAAUUGGCAUGUUUUGGAGCCAGGCCUAGGAGUGGCAAUCUUUGCUUCUGCCACAUUUUGUUGUCCAGAACUUAGUCACAUGGGAAGCUGUUUACCCUGGAGAAGGAAACAAUCUGUGUGAACAUACAGCCAUCCCGAUACACCACCUAUUGACUGUCUGAGCAGAGAAGGGAGAAUUAUGUCAACAUGUUCCUCUCUCCCUCCCUCCCUUUCUCCCUCUCUCUCCCUUAAUUUUUAAUUUCAAAUUUAAUUUUAAUUACUUUCUUCUCCCUUAAUUUUUUUUUUCUGUCAUGCUGAUUACAAAAGGCCAACCACAAAAACAGUGAGGCCAACUGAUAAUAAGCUGGUCACCUGGCUUUUCCUGAGGUUGGUCUUCACAUAUCAGGGAAGAAGCAUGAAGGUCUCAUGCAUCUUGGAGCACAAGAGCAAAUUUGUCUCUAAUUAGCCUAUUGCUAAUUUGUCACUUCUAGUGAUGGAGCUGUUAUCAAAGAACUCUCAUCCUUCUCCUUAGUAAGUCUAAACUCCUAAGAGCACAUAGACUGAUAUAAGAUGCCUGCAAACCAGUCCAAUUAAAUAUCCACAUAGGUUCCCUUACUUGAUUUCUUCCAUUUCCACGACUGAAACAAAUAAUUUAGUUUGCUAAUUCUUUGCAUUUUCAAAGUAGCUUCAAUCAGAGGACCUAAUGGUAGUUUACAAAUAGUUGAGUCAUUACAGUCAUUCUAAUGAGUUUUUGAAGUAGCUGAGCCAAACAUCAAAUUUCUUUAGCUUAUAGGGGAGACACUGAAUCACAGAAGAGUUAAGAAAUUUGUUCACAUUCACUGUCACAAAUAAUUAUUAUUGCCAGAAGUUCCUAGGACUUUUAAUCAUAAUUUCACAAUCUUAUCAGCUAUAAGCUAAUAGUUGAUGAGACCAAAUCAGAAUUUGCAUUUAACCCUCUUACAUUACUUCUGAAAAAAUUAAAGUAUAUUUAUGUUUCAUGUAUUUUAAAAUAUGCAUUUUUGAGUCACUACCACUAAUAUUAAAGGUCCUUUGUCCUAAUUCAGAAACUAUUGGAACAUAUAUUUAAAGAGAUUACUCUAUCCAAGACAAGGUUUAGAAGUUACUAGGUUAUGUUAGAUGUCCAAGGAAGUGGGACCUCCCAGUUUGUGAAUCUGCUUCGUGGGGAGUGUGUGUUCCUAUGAAACAAGCCUAAACAAUAUGCCUGACCUAUGAAUGCAGUUAACAGAGUAUCAGUGCGAGGUGGUGUUCUUAACACGAACAGCUUAUAUGGGCAGGCAAUGAUAUACUAGCCAAGUAGGUGAAAAAUGACUAUUUAAUGCACCCUAUAUAGAAUUGUUAUGUAAUAAAGAUAGACUGUCAAGUGGGCUUAAAGUGACAUUUCGUGGGAGGGUUUAUUGGCCAGAUGCAGUGAAUCUGAGAUCAAUUAAUUUUGCUUUGAAGUUUGUUCUUGAUCCAGAUCUUCAAUAAGAAGGUAGUUUCCAAGUCACUGGUCUGUGAACACUGCUUGUGAUUAAUUACCCUUUUAUAAUCGUAGGAAUUCUGUUCUUUGCUAUAUUUUGAAUAACUCAGACUCCAUGGGGAGUUGUAUUUUGGCUGGUAUAUUUGGAACUGCUAAUAAACACCUACUUCCUGUUUUUCUUA